rnacentral:rRNA from 1 species
GACGAACGCUGGCGGCGUGCUUAACACAUGCAAGUCGAACGGAAAGGCCCUGCUUUUGUGGGGUGCUCGAGUGGCGAACGGGUGAGUAACACGUGAGUAACCUGCCCUUGACUUUGGGAUAACUUCAGGAAACUGGGGCUAAUACCGGAUAGGAGCUCCUGCUGCAUGGUGGGGGUUGGACAGUUUCGGCGGUUGGGGAUGGACUCGCGGCUUACCAGCUUGUUGGUGGGGUAGUGGCUUACCAAGGCUUUGACGGGUAGCCGGCCUGAGAGGGUGACCGGCGACAUUGGGACUGAGAUACGGCCCAGACUCCUACGGGAGGCAGCAGUGGGGAAUAUUGCACAAUGGGCGGAAGCCUGAGGCAGCAACGCCGCGUGCGGGAUGACGGCCUUCGGGUUGUAAACCGCUUUCGCCUGUGACGAAGCGUGAGUGACGGUAAUGGGAAAAGAAGCACCGGCUAACUACGUG